rnacentral:lncRNA from 1 species
CUAAAGCACCCACACAAGUUUCUGUGCAACAUAAAAACAGAGUAGGCCCUGGGGCUCCUGCCUCCUCUCUAAGGGAGGGAGGCCAGAACCACUGACUGAUCCAGGAAACAACACAGCACCCCUUCUGGUCCCCUCCUGGGGGCGCUCCUCAGUAGGUGGCUUGCCAAAGCUUGCCCCCUACAAUAUUGAAUGAAAAAGGUUUCCCCUCCCCUGGAAGCAUGAGGGGUCUCCAGAUCUGAGAAUUCCCCCCUGGAAGAGACAUUGCCCCCUAGUUAAACCUCCCACCUUUCCAGGCCCUAGGGGACUCGAGGGGAGUGGGGAAACUGAGGCACAGAGAGGUGGAGUGACCUAGCUCAGGCCACUC